rnacentral:rRNA from 1 species
GCAGCGUGCCUAAUACAUGCAAGUCGAGCGAGCGGAACUAACAGAUUUACUUCGGUAAUGACGUUAGGAAAGCGAGCGGCGGAUGGGUGAGUAACACGUGGGGAACCUGCCCCAUAGUCUGGGAUACCACUUGGAAACAGGUGCUAAUACCGGAUAAGAAAGCAGAUCGCAUGAUCAGCUUUUAAAAGGCGGCGUAAGCUGUCGCUAUGGGAUGGCCCCGCGGUGCAUUAGCUAGUUGGUAAGGUAAAGGCUUACCAAGGCGAUGAUGCAUAGCCGAGUUGAGAGACUGAUCGGCCACAUUGGGACUGAGACACGGCCCAAACUCCUACGGGAGGCAGCAGUAGGGAAUCUUCCACAAUGGACGCAAGUCUGAUGGAGCAACGCCGCGUGAGUGAAGAAGGUUUUCGGAUCGUAAAGCUCUGUUGUUGGUGAAGAAGGAUAGAGGUAGUAACUGGCCUUUAUUUGACGGUAAUCAACCAGAAAGUCACGGCUAACUACGUGCCAGCAGCCGCGGUAAUACGUAGGUGGCAACGCUUGUCCGGAUUUAUUGGGCGUAAAGCGAGCGCAGGCGGAAGAAUAAGUCUGAUGUGAAAGCCCUCGGCUUAACCGAGGAACUGCAUCGGAAACUGUUUUUCUUGAGUGCAGAAGAGGAGAGUGGAACUCCAUGUGUAGCGGUGGAAUGCGUAGAUAUAUGGAAGAACACCAGUGGCGAAGGCGGCUCUCUGGUCUGCAACUGACGCUGAGGCUCGAAAGCAUGGGUAGCGAACAGGAUUAGAUACCCUGGUAGUCCAUGCCGUAAACGAUGAGUGCUAAGUGUUGGGAGGUUUCCGCCUCUCAGUGCUGCAGCUAACGCAUUAAGCACUCCGCCUGGGGAGUACGACCGCAAGGUUGAAACUCAAAGGAAUUGACGGGGGCCCGCACAAGCGGUGGAGCAUGUGGUUUAAUUCGAAGCAACGCGAAGAACCUUACCAAGUCUUGACAUCUAGUGCCAUUUGUAGAGAUACAAAGUUCCCUUCGGGGACGCUAAGACAGGUGGUGCAUGGCUGUCGUCAGCUCGUGUCGUGAGAUGUUGGGUUAAGUCCCGCAACGAGCGCAACCCUUGUUAUUAGUUGCCAGCAUUAAGUUGGGCACUCUAAUGAGACUGCCGGUGACAAACCGGAGGAAGGUGGGGAUGACGUCAAGUCAUCAUGCCCCUUAUGACCUGGGGUACACACGUGCUACAAUGGGCAGUACAACGAGAAGCGAGCCUGCGAAGGCAAGCGAAUCUCUGAAAGCUGUUCUCAGUUCGGACUGCAGUCUGCAACUCGACUGCACGAAGCUGGAAUCGCUAGUAAUCGCGGAUCAGCACGCCGCGGUGAAUACGUUCCCGGGCCUUGUACACACCGCCCGUCACACCAUGGGAGUCUGCAAUGCCCAAAGCCGGUGGCCUAACUUUCGGGAAGGAGCUGUCUAAGGCAGGGCAGAUGACUGGGGUGAAGUCGUAAC